UGAUURUAUAAUAUUAUUUUUAUUUUUUCAAUAAAAUAAUUUAUUUUUUAAUAAUAAUYAUGAAAAAAUUAUUAAUAUUAUAGUUAAUUAGUAUAGUGAUAGAAAUAUUUUUUAAUUUUAAAAGUAAAUUUAAUUUAUUGUACCUUGUGUAUCAGGGCUUAUUAAAUAAUAGUUAAAUAUUUAAUUAUCUCGAUUUUAUAAGAGUUAAUAAAAUAUAAAUUUUAUUGUAAAAUAAAUAUUUAUAAUAUUUUAUUAGAAAUGAAAYGUUAUUCGUUUAUAAAUAUAUCUAGUUUUUAAAGAAAAAAAUUUAAUUUUAUAUUAAAUAUAAAAUUAAUUUAUUUAUAGGUUAAUUUUAUUAUUUAAUUUAAAUAUUUUUUAGGAUAAGCUAAAAAGUAUAAAUUUAUAAAUUUAUAUUAAUARGAUAAUAUAUAGAAUUAGAAAUUUUCAAUUAUAGUUUGUUAUAAUUAAUUAUUAAAAAUUAUUUAUUUAUAUAUUUUUUAAUUUUUAUAUUUAAAUAAUUUAUUUAAUUAAAUAGUAAAUGAAAUAAUGAUAAAAUUAGUAUAAUAUAUUGUAUGAUAUAAUUUGUGUUUAAGGUUAAAUAAAGGAAUUCGGCAAAUUUAAAUUUUUCGCCUGUUUAAUAAAAACAUGUCUUUUUGAUUAUAAUUUAAAGUUUAACCUGCCCUCUGAAUUUUGAAUGGCCGCAGUAUUUUGACUGUGCUAAGGUAGCAUAAUAAUUAGUUUUUUAAUUAGAAGCUAGAAUGAAUGGUUGGACGAGAAAAUUACUGUCUCUAUUUAAUUUAAUUAAAAUUUAAUUUUUAAGUUAAAAAGCUUAAAUUUUGUUAAAAGACGAGAAGACCCUAUAGAGUUUAAUAUAAUUUAUUAAAUUAAGUUUUAAGAAUUAUUUAUUUUAUUUAUAAAAUUAUAUUUUAUUGGGGUGAUAGUAAAAAUUAAUAAACUUUUAUUUUAUUAAAACAUUAAUUAAUGAUUGAUUGAUCCAUUUUAUGAUUAUAAGAUUAAAUUACCUUAGGGAUAACAGCGUAAUUUUUUUUAAGAGUUCUUAUCAAAAAAAAAGUUUGCGACCUCGAUGUUGGAUUAAAAUUUAAAUUUGGUGUAGAAGCUGAAUAAUUAAGUCUGUUCGACUUUUAAAAUUUUACAUGAUCUGAGUUUAAACCGGUGUGAGCCAGGUUGGUUUCUAUCUUUAAUAAAAGAUUAUAUUUUAGUACGAAAGGACCAAAUAUAGGUAAAAUUUAUUUAAAKGGAAUUUUAUUAUUAUU
rnacentral:rRNA from 1 species